UCCUCCCCCCUUCCCGCACGCCGCCGCGCCCAUCACUUUUCAUCUCCGACCAGCGCCGCCUCUGUCGGCUCCGUUGUUCGAGUCGUACGACGGGCUCCUAGGGACCAUCCUCUCGGCGAACGGGAAGAGGGGGAGGAUGGAAGAAGGGCGCAUGGAUGGCAGCAGCGGCGAAAACCAUGGAGGCGACCUAGCAAAUCCUUGCGCCUCCACGCAAAUUCGCGCCUCCGCCCUGACCUGGUCCUCUUCUCCCCUUCCGCGUCGACAGAGGGCUCCGAUGGAGGACGACUGCAGGUCGCUGAGGCAAAGCACAAAUCCACGACUCCGUGUUGUUCAAGGCCACCAUCGGCGGCCGAGCUCCGGAUCUGGGCAGGGAGGGCCCGAGCAGGAUUGCCGGGCACUGAGGCAACCGCCGGCGACGGCCACGGCUCCAUGUUGUUCAUGACCACCAUCGGCAUCCACGCUCCGGAUCUGGGCAGGGAGGGAACGAUAUGGGAUUGGAGAUUCGGGCCCAUGGCGUGGCGGCGCGUCCUCUCCCUGGGUUUCAAAAAUUCGAGUACUUGAAUUCUCUGCAAGCACGAUGCAUUGUGUGGAUUUUUAUCUUAGGUACACAAGUUUUUCUUCAUGGAUCCAACUACAUGAACAUAGAGGUAGAUCACGAUGACGAGCACGUCAAGCUGCGGAGGAACAUGGCAAGCUAUGACGAAGCACGGCGAGCUGCAGAGAAGCAUGGCGAGUUACCGAGGAGCAAUGACGUCUCAGACAUGUUCGCAGGAGCUCCACAUGUUCCGGGCGGAUGGAGGCGGUGUGACUGGCGGCUGGGGAGGAGGAGCACGGGUGGGUGCGCAACUGGCCGAGGCAGCAACGCGCACCUGAUCACUUGAGGCGGAGAGGGCUUCAGCGCUGGAGGCUUGCACCUGCCCAGCUCAAGUUGGAGAUAGUGCGGCGUUCGCGCAACGUGGGGGUUUCAGCUUUAAAUAUUGGAAAUUAACCACCACUUAGCUCAUCUUGGCAUUGUGCCAGAUUGAAAUCACCUCGCCCGAAAUUGCGCCUCAGCUCAACAUUGCCACGCCUGAAUAUCUGCUCCAGCUCGGCAGCGGCAACACAUCAGCUGCUCGACGACACACACUCAGUUCAAGAUACGCCGGGGGAAACAAGAAAUUGGGGAUGAACUCCGCAACAGGAGCAACACAUAAUGUCAGAAUGUUGUCAGCACUGGGAGUGGCAUCAACAUAUAUUUGGAGAGGCCAAGUUGGUUACCUUCCGGUGCUUAUGGCAAUUAUGCUAGCUCCGAGACUGACACCAAGCAAAAUCACACCGUCAGCAAACAUGAUCUGGAUGGACCUUUUGUUAUUGAUUGUCAAGAUUCAAAUGCUAAUGCCUUACUUCCCUAUAAAAUUAUUCCUGGAAAAGAAAGUGAAGUUUUAGAGUAAGCAUAGCCAAGGAGUUAUGCAGUACAUAGGAUAGUACCAGGAAUAGACCUUCAAGUUGAUUGAGAAACCAGAUGUAUAGGGCCAUAAAUAUUCUAAUGGUGAUUGCACUGUUUGUAAUUUAAAUAUACAACCAUUCAAAAGGAAUGUAUUGUGGAUGCAAAGGUAGUCUCA